UCAACGUAAUCCCAAGCAUAUUAAAAUUAUGUAAUUAGUUUUUUGUGUUUUUGUGAGGGGGGAAAAACUGUUCUGUUGUUCCUACAGGGAUGUGAAGCUAAACUGGAGCAGAUGCUUCAGGAUGUGCUUAGUUAUGCAAUGUUGGUCAUCCUGGGAUUUGCCAUCAUUAAGUUGUUUGGGAUGCUCAGCAUCUGUGUCAUUGCCUGCAGAAGCAAGAAGAAUGACUAUCAGCCUCUGUAUGCGUGAUGGUAACAUCUCCUGAAUCACUCUCUUGGGACAGUCGCUACAUUCUCGCUACUGUGCAGCUAAACACAGCCUCACUGGCACCAUAAACAUCAGUGGUUUGAAGGUGUGACUAUUCCAAACAUUUAGUUAAAAAAAUUAAUUGUAAUGCCUUUUGGUUUGAGUGCAAAAGUCCAACUUGAAUGAGAAAUGCUGACGGGAACCACACAAGUGUGUGGUCAGAAAAACACAGAACAUUAUCAAA